rnacentral:misc_RNA from 1 species
UAACAUUAAUAGCUUGAAAUUAGGGCAAAAGAUUGGGGGAAAAAACUGGGAAACGGGUAAGAAUUCAGGGGUAAAAACGAAAGUCCCCUUUGAUUUCAAAAUUCGAAAAUCCUCUCUAAGGAACAGGGCAGCAGUUGGGUCUUGUACCAGGAAAAUGUCCAAAUCCCACAGGAUCUGGACUUGGCAGCAGCAUGGAUGGCUCCGAUUCUUCAGGCUUGUCCUCGAGUUGUUGUGUGUCAUCAUCCCUUAGCCAUAAGGACAAACGGACCCAGCUGCAAGGACGAUUCUUGCAGGCGAAAAGUUGCAUAUUGCUGCUGGUCG